UACGAAGGGUGCAAGCGUUACUCGGAAUUACUGGGCGUAAAGCGUGCGUAGGUGGUUCGUUAAGUCUGAUGUGAAGGCCCUGGGCUCAACCUGGGAAUGGCAUUGGAUACUGGCGAUCUAGAGUGCGGUAGAGGGCAGUGGAAUUCCCGGUGUAGCAGUGAAAUGCGUAGAGAUCGGGAGGAACAUCUGUGGCGAAGGCGACUGCCUGGACCAGCACUGACACUGAGGCACGAAAGCGUGGGGAGCAAACAGG
rnacentral:rRNA from 1 species